rnacentral:rRNA from 1 species
CUACGGGAUGCUGCAGUGAGGAAUAUUGCACAAUGGGGGAAACCCUGAUGCAGCAACGCCGCGUGGAGGAUGAAGCAUUUCGGUGUGUAAACUCCUUUUAUCAGAGAAGAAAAUGACGGUAUCUGAUGAAUAAGCUCCGGCUAACUCCGUGCCAGCAGCCGCGGUAAUACGGAGGGAGUAAGCGUUAUUCGGAAUCACUGGGCGUAAAGGACGCGUAGGCGGGUUUUUAAGUCAGGUGUGAAAUCCUAUGGCUCAACCAUAGAACUGCACUUGAAACUGGGGACCUAGAGUAUGGAAGGGGCAGGUGGAAUUAGUGGUGUAGGGGUAAAAUCCGUAGAUAUCACUAGGAAUACCGAAAGCGAAGGCGACCUGCUGGGACAAUACGGACGCGGAGGCGUGAAAGCGUGGGGAGCAAACAGGAUUAGAUACCCCCGUAGUC